GUACUCUCACACUCUCUGAUCCUUUGGAUUGGGGAGCGGUGGACUUGGGUGCUUGCUGCUUCCUUGUGGCUCACCUGAAAUGCGUCAGUGCAUCUCUUGAUUGGACAUAGUACGGCGUGAUAAGUAUCUUCGCCGGCACCUCUUGCGAGGGUGGCUGAUCAGGGGCUCUGUGCUCCCAACCGUCUUUCAGACAACCACUGACA
rnacentral:misc_RNA from 1 species